rnacentral:rRNA from 1 species
AUGGGCGUGGCGACGGUGACGGAGAUGAAGCAGAGCGUGAGCGUCUCCGGGAAGAAGAUGUUCCGGACGAGCCUCAACAAUCGGCACGCCAAUGAAUGGCCUCCCACCGACGUCUCCAGCGACCUCACCGUGGAAGUCGGCACGUCCAGCUUCGCCCUCCACAAGCUGCUCGCGCAGUUCCCGCUGGUCUCCCGGAGCGGCAAGAUCCGCCGGCUCGUGGCGGAGGCCAAGGACGCCAAGCUCGCGCGCCUCACCCUCCACGCCACGCCCGGGGGCGCCCCGGCGUUCGAGCUCGCCGCCAAGUUCUGCUACGGCGUCCACGUCGAUAUCACGGUUGCCAACGUUGCCAUGCUCCGCUGCGCCGCGCGCUACCUGCAGAUGACCGACGACUUCUCCGACAAGAACCUCGAGCUCCGCGCCGAGGCCUUCCUCCGCGACGCCGUCCUCCCCAGCAUCGCCAGCUCCGUCGCCGUGCUCCGCACCUGCGAGGCGCUGCUCCCGGCCGCCGAGGACGUCAACCUCGUCGCCCGCCUCAUCGCCGCCAUCGCCAACAACGUCUGCAAGGAGCAGCUCGCGUCCGGGCUGCUCUCCAGGUUGGACCACACUGGCGCGCAGCUCAAGCCGGCGGCGCUUGACUCGCCGGGGGAGGGGGACUGGUGGGGCAAGUCGGUCGCCGGCCUCGGACUGGACUUGUUCCAGCGACUCCUCUCCGCCGUCAAGUCCAAGGGCCUCAGGCAGGAGACGGUCACCCGGAUCCUCAUCAACUAUGCCCACAACUCGCUGUACGGGCUCAUGCCCUGCAGGGACGCCGACAAAUGCGGCGGCGUCACGGACACGGACACGGACACGGACGCCGUCAAGAAACAGCGCGCCGUCGUCGAGACCAUCGUCGGCUUGCUACCGGCGCAGUCCAAGAAGAGCCCCGUGCCAAUGGCCUUCCUCUCGGGGCUCCUCAGGACGGCAAUGGCGCUGUCCGCUUCCAACAUAUGCAAGGCCGACCUCGAGAAGCGGAUCGGCAUGCAGCUUGAGCAGGCUAUCCUGGAGGACAUCCUGAUCGCCACCGGGUCCGGCGAGGCCUCGACGCUGUACGACACGGACGUGGUGGCCAGGAUCUUCUCGGUGUUCCUCAACCUUGACGAGGACAAGGAGGAGGACGGCGGCGGGUUCGACUACGACAGCCCGCGGUCCCCGAAGCAGAGUUGUAUAGUCAAGGCCUCCAAGCUGCUGGACAGCUACCUGGCCGAGAUCGCGCUGGAUUCCAACCUCGUCCCCGCCAAGUUCAUCUCCCUCGCCGAGAUCCUCCCUGACCACGCCCGCCUCGUCACCGACGGGAUCUACCGCGCCGUCGACAUCUUCCUCAAGGUGCACCCGAACAUCAAGGAGGCGGAAAGGUACCGGAUGUGCAAGGCGAUUGACUGCCAACGGCUUACGCCGGACGCGUGCAGCCACGCGGCCCAAAACGAGCGGCUGCCGGUGCAGAUGGCGGUGCAGGUGCUCUACUUCGAGCAGAUCCGCCUGCGGAGCGCGAUCCAGUCCGGCGGCGGCGGCGGCCAUGACGGGGCUCUCUUCUUCGGCGGCGGCGCGGUGUCGUCCGCAUCGACUGUGCAGGGCGGCGGCGGCAACAACAUGCGGUCCGGGAGCGGGGUGGGGAGCGGCGCCAUGUCGCCGCGGGACAACUACGCGUCGGUGCGGCGGGAGAACCGGGAGCUGAAGCUGGAGGUGUCGCGGAUGCGGAUGCGGCUGACGGACCUGGAGAAGGACCACGUGAGCAUGAAGCGGGAGCUCGUGCGCGUCAACCCGGCGAACCGCCUGCUACGGAGCUUCGCGCGCAGCUUCGGCAGGCUCAACACGCUAUUCCGGAUGCGCCCGGCUGCCGAGCCUGGGUUGCAGCAGCUCGGCGCCAAGGCUACCGCCGACGCCAAGGUGCUCUUCCAGCGCCGCCGCCGCCAUUCCAUCUCGUAG